UGAGGAAUAUUGGUCAAUGGCCGCGAGGCUGAACCAGCCAAGUCGCGUGAGGGAAGAAUGUCCUAUGGAUUGUAAACCUCUUUUGUCGGGGAGCAAAACGGCACUGCGGUGCCUGAUUGAGAGUACCCGAAGAAAAAGCAUCGGCUAACUCCGUGCCAGCAGCCGCGGUAAUACGGAGGAUGCGAGCGUUAUCCGGAUUUAUUGGGUUUAAAGGGUGCGCAGGCGGCUUGUCAAGCAAGCGGUAAAAUUGCGGGGCUCAACCCCGUCUAGCCGUUUGAACUGGCGAGCUUGAGUAUAUUCGAGGUAAGCGGAAUUCGUGGUGUAGCGGUGAAAUGCAUAGAUAUCACGAAGAACUCCGAUUGCGAAGGCAGCUUACCAGGAUGUUACUGACGCUCAGGCACGAAAGCGUGGGUAUCGAACAGG
rnacentral:rRNA from 1 species